CCCCCUCCGAAACUCCUACGCCGGCAGCGAGCCCUCGAAGAGAGGGCGUCCUCGACACCUCCGUGCUGCCAGAGGAGACGCAGCGGCAGGUUUAGCUGCUGCCCCACCGAGCGCGGUGGUUCGCCCCUGCGGGCGGACUGCUGGAGGCCGCCGGAGCUCGCGCCCAGUGCCGCCGCCGGAGCCCGCGCCCAGUAACGCCGCCGGAGCUCGCGUCCCUGUGCCGCCACCGGAGCUCGCGCCCCUCUUCGUGUCCGUGCCGCCGCCGAGCUCGUUCAGGUAAGAGGUCGCUUAAAGCAGGGGCGGCACCAAGGGCAGCGCGGCUGCCACUCCCUAUACCGAAGUAGGCCGCUGGGGCGCGGGUAGUAGUGGUGGAGCGGCGCUCCCAGAGAAGCCAAGUCCUAAGUAAGGGCGCGCGUCGACGGGUAGCGCGUACUUCGGAGGAGGAGGGCUGCGGUAGGAGAAGAAAACCCACAGUGGCGACGUCGCGACAGCCGUACCGGCCGCGGCCGUACCUCUACCAGCCGAUAGAAGGACCGGCGUUGGAGGAGCGGGCGAACAGUGAAGGGUUUGGGUCCCUGCUUCCUUUCUAGAAGUCCUACUGGAUUGGUAUGUACCGCCGGUGGGGGCUCUCUAUUUCGUACGAAGCGAUUCAAGACUCCUCUCCGGCUCUGCCUCGUCUGUAGGUGACGUAGCGGAAGAGAGGCCUAAAUUUUACCAACCGCCAGUCGUCGCUGUUCCGCUGGCACGUGCACAAGUCGCAGUUACAGCUAAACGGUUCGGACUGUGGCCUCCUGUCGUUGCCAGGGCCGCCAGAGGAUCGUCGGGGCCGCGGCAGCAGAGGUCGUCAUCGAUGUCGGUUGUUCUCCAGCAGCGACAGCAAGCGACCUCCUAAGAACGGCCCGAUAAAGUCAAGUCUUACCAGCAGCUGAGUCUAGGCGCAGGGACUUCCGUGGUUCAUGAACCAGCGCAAGUCGUCAGUCGGUUUGUGGGAAGAGUAGGAGCCGUAAUUACCUGCGAAGAUGGCCACGGCUAAGCUGGGCCUUUUUCCUCCGCAUCACCUGCACGCCGUGUUUCCCUGCGGAACACCCUCACUCCUUGUUCUGCACCUCACGUAGUUGAAGUACUUAGGCUCGUUCUUUUGUAGAUUAAGCUUCGGUAGUAUACCGUCGAUCGGAACAAUAGAAACGAAAGAAGUAGAAGCAGACAGAAUCCCUACGUCUAAACCUUGGAGGUCCCAUAGGAAACUAGGAUGAAUAUCAAGUUGAUUUACUUGAUUGAAAAGUCUUAAGUGGAGUGAAAACUUUUUUAUCAAGUAAACCAACUUGGUUUUUUCAUAGCCUCCCAUAGGAAAUCUAAGUUGUAAACGUAGGGGUCAGACAGUCUUGUCAUUAUUUACGUGAUGACAGACGCCGGGAUGUGGUAAAACCUUGCCACGUACUAAAACAAAAACAAGUUACGUAAAACAAUGACAACAAACCACGCAUGCGUGCAGACAAACGAUCGUCAGCCGUGAACGUGAGUACUAGUACUAGACUACCUGUACCACUGUUGGAGGGGGUGGGGCUGAUUAGACCUAGUCUAGCUGGUGUAGAGGGUUCAUAAGACCCCACGUGACAAUUUGUUCCUACACAAGACCCUGCUCUUGGAACAUCUCCUGUGAGUCUAAUACCGCCGCAUAGUAACGGAAGAGAAACGUAGUUAGUAGAGAUUUUCUUUUACCGUCCAACUCCCUGUCUCUUCUAGUCUUCUAACUUAUGAACCGUUUUCUUUCCUGAUGAUUGUUACUACGGAUACCAAACACCACCUUUACCCGUUUUAUACUCUAAAACCUUCCUGACCACCC
rnacentral:rRNA from 1 species